rnacentral:RNase_P_RNA from 1 species
GAGUCGGCCAGACAGUCGCUGGGAAAAUUUUCCUGGAGGAAAGUCCGGGCUCCACAGGGCAGGGUGCCAGGUAACGCCUGGGGGGCGCGAGCCUACGGCCAGUGCAACAGAAAAUAUACCGCCAGUUUCGACUGGUAAGGGUGAAAAGGUGCGGUAAGAGCGCACCGCGUCGGUGGUAACACUCGGCGGCAUGGUAAACCCCACCUGGAGCAAGGCCAAAUAGGGGAACGUUAAGUGUGGCCCGCACGGUUCCCGGGUAGGCUGCUUGAGGCAUGCGGUGACGUAUGUCCAGAUGAAUGGCUGUCCAAGACAGAACCCGGCUUAUCGGCCGACUCCU